UACGUAGGCAGCAAGCGUUGUUCGGAAUUACUGGGCGUAAAGAGUGUGUAGGCGGUGCUCUAAGUCUGUUGUGAAAGCCCCCGGCUCAACUGGGGAGGGUCACCGGUAACGGCCGAGCUAUGAGUGCAGGAGAGGGAAGUGGAACUCCGGGAGUAGCGGUGAAAUGCGUAGAGACCCGGAGGAACACCAGUGGCGAAGGCGGCUUCCUGGUCUGCAACUGACGCUGUGGCGCGAAAGCUAGGGGAGCAAACGGG
rnacentral:rRNA from 1 species